rnacentral:rRNA from 1 species
UACGGAGGGUGCAAGCGUUAUCCGGAUUCACUGGGUUUAAAGGGUGCGUAGGUGGGCAGGUAAGUCAGUGGUGAAAUCUCCGGGCUUAACUCGGAAACUGCCAUUGAUACUAUCUUUCUUGAAUACCGUGGAGGUCAGCGGAAUAUGUCAUGUAGCGGUGAAAUGCUUAGAUAUGACAUAGAACACCAAUUGCGAAGGCAGCUGGCUACACGAAUAUUGACACUGAUGCACGAGAGCGUGGGGAUCAAACAGG